UUGCGCCUCGUCCAGCUGUUUUUUUUUUUUUUUUUUAAGAGUCUCGCCCAGGAACGCCUCGUUUAAAAAUAACGUAAUUUUUUUUAAGAGACGCAGGUGUCUCUUAAAGCUAUCUUUUUAUGAUCUAAAGGGCCCUUUAAAAGCACUUGAACUUUUCUUUUUGAAAAGUGCAUCUCGAGCCGUGCGUUCUGUUCUAUUCGUUUCGGUGUGUCAGCUUUUCUAGUGCAAAAACGCGUGUGAUCUGAACGGCGACCCCAUAGCCUAUACGAAAGAGGUUGAAAUGCCAGAGAAUACAUGUGCAAUUAACAUUACAUAGUUUGUUAAAGGAGACAAUGACUCCCGGAGGAGAUUUUGAUGCAUGUGUAUGGAUUUCUCUCCAAUCCUGUCAAAUUGAGUGUUCCUUCAAGCUGCAAAUACUUGACCGACCUUUGGUCCUUAUGGAAAAACAAGAUUGUUGUCCACAAAAAGAUCGGACCAUACGAGUUGCAUUUCUGGAGAACUCUUGGUAAAAGGAAAGUGAAGUUCUUUGUGGUUUUUUAAAUUUUUUUAUUUUAUCCCCUUUUCUCCCAAUUUGGAAUGCCCAAUUCCCACCACUUAGUAGGUCCUCGUGGUGGCGCGGUUACUCACCUCAAUCCGGGUGGCGGAGGACAAGUCUCAGUUACCUCUGCUUCUGAGACAGUCAAUCCACGCAUCUUAUCACGUGGCUUGCUGCGCAUGACGCCGCGGAGACUUGCAGCAUGUGGAGGCUCAUGCUACUCUCCGCGAUCCACGCACAACUUACCCAUUGAGAACGAGAACCACUAAUCAUGACCAUGAGGAGGUUACCCCAUGUGACUCUACCCUCCCUAGCAACCAGGCCAAUUUGGUUGCUUAGGAGACCUGGCUGGAGUCACUCAGCACGCCUUGGAUUCGAACUCGUGACUCCAGGGGUGGUAGUCAGCGUCAGUACUCGCUGAGCUACCCAGCCCCAACGAAGUUCAUUGAUAUCCAGAAGGCAAAUGUAAAAGAGUUGCAGAAACUUGUGACUUGGCUGCUGUGGAUUUGUUGUGUUACUCUGGUUAAGUGUUGUGAUGCCACAGCCCUGGCGACACUGGGCUCUUAACAUCUCAUGAGGCUUGUUAUCCAUCAAUGUCGCUGUCCGAGUCUGACUAGCUCACUUUCAUCUUUGAAACAGCUUACGCAUCUCUGCUGUGAGUUCCAGUGAGCCUCAGUAUCGGCAAUAAGUGGUGCCAUUUCACAACUCGUCAAUCUGACCACACUAUACUACCACGAGGAUAAAAAUCCCAUCCCUAAAACUGUUCUCCAUUGCAUGUUCAGAUGUUUGCCUAGCUUAAAACAUCUUUCCAUAAGAAUGGGACCAAAGUACGGGAUCCUUCCUGAUGAUUAGUUUUGUCUCAGCAAAAAAUGCCAAAGUCAGGAAAUGGGUGCAGUGGUCUGCCUGACCAGCCUAGAGCUGCUGAACUAUGAAGACCCUUGUCUUUUGUGGACUGUCCUCCUUGACAAAACUGACUGUGCAUUAUAAAGGAUGGCACCAUGAUGUUCCAGCGUCAGUGUUUGUUGGACUUCAGCACCUACCUCGACUUAAGCAGUUAGUGAUUUUGGAUGCACUUCAAAGCCCUAGUCCUACUGUCUUAAAUCUGACUCAAAAAUGUCACGUCCAAACAAACAACAAAAUCCGAGGGCUUCAUUCCUCAGGACCAAUGGACCAAACCACAUGCACUUGUGGCUUUUAUUGAUAAAUGUGUUUGUUUACACAUAUGUUGAACAAUGUAUUUGAUGGACCUUCAUAUUGUCCUGUGACGCUUUACAGAACAUUGUGUCUUACAGAUAGGUGAUGUUUUAAUGUGGUGAAUACAUACGUUGAAAAUGGAAAGAAUUUGGAAACAAUGGAGGACCAUUUACCGUUAACAUUUUAUAGGCAUACGUAUAUAAACUUUAUUUAAAAAUGUAUUGUAAAAGGCUUAAAUGAGAAACAUGAUUAUGUGAUGCCGAAUCCACACAUUUUGUCUAUGAUUCUAUAUGCCAUCCGUAUUCCCUUGGUGCAAGAUUUAAAAACUGCUAUAUAGGUUUAAAAAUUAUAUAUUCAAUCAUGCGCUAUUUGUAAUUCUUCAAUAAAAGUCAUGAAAUUAAAUUCGGAGGACUACAUCAUAUUCCCCAGCUUUAACAUCCAGACACCUCCACUAGGUGGCAAGCUAUUCACACACGAGUAUAAUAAAUCAGUAAAUGCAUUCAAUCUCUAAAUGCAUGUUAUAGUUAAUACACAUCAUGACUUAGAAAUGCAGAUCAUAACUGUAUUUUACCAAGUAUUUAAGAUGUACAAGAAAAUCGUAUAUACAUUUUAGUACAUUAAAUUAGAUUGCCUUAAAAUGCUUUUAAAGGGAAAGCACCGGUUUUUUUUUUUACGUGAAGAUAAUUACAUUAACAACAAGCAUGCUGUUCAUUGCGAUUUCUCACAUUUUCAGACAAAAAUAUUUAUACAUAAAUAACAUUUCAAAAUUGAAACUGUUUAC